rnacentral:lncRNA from 1 species
AAUCCAGCCCACGGCAUUCAAAGGCUGAAGGGCCACCUGACACUCCAGAGGCUGCUGGAAAUGCAGGGCUGUUUCAUCCUGGGUAUUUUCCAGAGAGAAGUACUGAGAAGCUUAAAGUAUUUGAAUGGGAGGAGGAGAAGCAAACUACAGCUACUUCAGAGGAUAACACUAAACACCUAGUCCACUCUGUAUACACUAGAGGUGCUGUUAAUUUUCUUGUGGAGAAGGAACUGUCUUUAGAAAAAUAUCUCAAAAAGCCACUGAAGUAGAAAGUUUCAGCAUGCUGAAGAUGGAACUUGAGAAGAUAGAAAGUUCUGGGUCCUUAGUGGCAUGACUGAGUCGCUGGACCACUGUUGGAACCACCCUAUGUCUUAGUUUUUAAAUCUCUUUACUGUCUAAGACAUUUUUAGUGGAAGUAUUUAUCUCUGGCAUCCAAUAAGACCUUUAAGGAUUUGCA